rnacentral:rRNA from 1 species
UACGGGGGGGGCAAGCGUUGUUCGGAAUUACUGGGCGUAAAGGGCUCGUAGGCGGCCAACUAAGUCCGACGUGAAAUCCCCAGGCUUAACCUGGGAACUGCGUCGGAUACUGGAUGGCUUGAAUUCGGGAGAGGGAUGCAGAAUUCCAGGUGUAGCGGUGAAAUGCGUAGAUAUCUGGAGGAACACCGGUGGCGAAGGCGGCAUCCUGGACCGAUACUGACACUGAGGAGCGAAAGCCAGGGGAGCAAACGGG